rnacentral:sRNA from 1 species
GCUUAAAUGACCUAUCCGGAUCUUAAUUGUCUGAACUUAUAUGUUUCUCUUCUACACGAAAGAAACGCCAUGUAACAAGCUCUGACGGCUUUAGCUUGUGGUAUCUCUCAGUCCACACCCGUUUCACCAUCUAUAGGACCUGGCGGACGUCGCCUUGGGAAAAAUUCCUCUUCCCUGGGAAACAUCGACACUCGCGCUCGAGCCAUGCGCGAUCCCAGGUUACGGCUGCGACUCUGGCGAGGGGGGACUUGCUUAGCGAAGGGUCUUUGAGGCAUCGUACAACGUCAAGGCCACCCAGUUUCCCGUGAAUCCCUCUGCAACUCAAUUGCUCAACCAUUACCGUACUUGGUCUUGCUCAUAUUUUCGUUACUCACCUCAUGGUCCCAUACGGCCAAUAUUGUGGUAUAUUACUGUAUAUAGACCACCGGACCUCGUCAAAACCAGAAGGGCAUGCACGGCAGAUACUUGAUCUUUUGGCUAUAGCAUAGUUUCACCAGUCUUGCUGGACGGGCUACUCGAAUCAAGGCUCUACAAGCACUCUGUGCAAUUUUCUGGUUUGGUCAGAGAAUGCUUUGCCUAUGAGAUGUCAAGGGAAGUGGCUCUAAGAUCUCAAGACAGAUUGGGCUAGGUGAGAUACAGACUUUUACCGGUGAACUGCAUAUUCAAUUUACAUUAUGAACCCUUCCCUAAACAUUAAUAUGGUUUAGUCUCUAUCACGGGAACAAGACAAGUUGUCUCCAUGUAUGUUCUGCUCAAGUCAAUGCAGUCUCGAUCCGACAUCCCAUAAGUGCAAUCCCAACCAGCUGUACCCUGUGCCCUACUUCGUCAACGUUUCGCGCUUCCGCUUCAACGCUUGAAGAAGAUCAUACAAUCCGAGAUUGAUCCUGAGGACACUACGAAGUAUCAGAAUAUAGACAUCUCAUAAUAUGGAUAUCAUUCAAAAGUCUUUAUCCUAGCGAUAAUGAGUUGACCCUCCAGAGUCCAUAUAAGGGGACAAGUCACG